UACGUAGGGACCAAGCGUUGUUCGGAUUUACUGGGCGUAAAGGGCGCGUAGGCGGCGCGGUAAGUCACUUGUGAAAUCUCUGAGCUUAACUCAGAACGGCCAAGUGAUACUGCAGUGCUAGAGUGCGGAAGGGGCAAUCGGAAUUCUUGGUGUAGCGGUGAAAUGCGUAGAUAUCAAGAGGAACACCUGAGGUGAAGACGGGUUGCUGGGCCGACACUGACGCUGAGGCGCGAAAGCGUGGGGAGCAAACAGG
rnacentral:rRNA from 1 species